AUCAUUGAAGGGAAGACUUUCUCAAAUGUAGCACGCCUUGGCUUUGCUGCUGCACAUGAUUCUCCUUCUCUGAAAUAUGAAGGGCUUUUGGAUUCAACAGGCAGCAUAGAAGAUACAGGCGAGACCUCAAGGAUUCAAGAUCAAAGGAACACGAACACACUCUGUCAUUCGCUCAUGUCAUAUCCGCUUCGAGAACCGUAGAUAGUCCAGAACCACAGAAGACAGUUGGGUUUGGAAAGAAAGGAAAGAAACCAACAAAGGUCCUCUUGUCAACUGCCGGUGGUCGCCGCUAUUGACUUUGAACUGGUGCUUUUAUUAUCUACAACCUUGCUUAAAAAAAAAGAUGUAUAUAUUAGUAGGCAUAAACUAGUGUGCUUUUACGUCUAUCUUCACAAUAAGAAAGAUGGUUCUUAGCAUCGCAAACUGCUUUCAAGAAGAGGCUCCCCUCUCUUUCCGAUGACUAAUGAGUCACUUGCCAAGCCACACUUGAUUCAGUAAAUGGGGCUAUGCCCUCAUUUACUGUUCAUUUUUCUUUUUCUGCUUUCCAUUUCUUUCAGUACCGCUGUUGUAGAUUACAAAAAUUGAAUGGUACAAAAAAGCAUCUCAUUACUUGAAAAAUUCACACUUUGAUAUUUCACAGUUUCUUAUGAGCUCCCAGGUGACUUUUUGAGUGGUGCUGUGUAUUCUGCCUUGCUAUGUCACUGAAUUCAAAUCAUGUUGUGGAUACUGGCCAUGUUUAUCUUCGUCGUAUUGUGAUUGGUCAAAUGUGGUGUUUUGUUGCAGGUAAAUGCUUUUGGAUUUUCAGAUACAUUUAGGCAUAUGCUGAAAACCAGAUGGGAAAUUGAAAG